AAGAAUAAAUCACUGUUAGAUCUUUAGGCAAUAGGAAGCUUCAGUUUUUAAACUUUAUAGACAGAGAAGUAGAGUUACAUGCAAUGAUAUAUAUAUGAUCCCAUAUUUAAGAGAAUUCUCCUGAUUACACAAAACAUAUGAACAUGAAACAGACAAAACUCGAAAAGUACACAAUCAUUGUUUGGUCUAAAGAAACAGUUUUAAAAUUCAAUUUCGCUAAUUUAUCAAUUAAAUUUCGAACAAAAGCUACAAAUCAAAUGAAAAUCAUUGCGAGGUUUUAAAAGGUACCAUUGGUGAUGAUGGCGCUGGUUUGGGGAGGAACCUUGAACUCCUCUGCUGCGAAUCAGAACCGCCGUGAACGGAGCUCCCUCCGAAACAAACAAAAUGUUGGACCGAGACAUUUUAUCUUUGAAUUUAACGUGGCGAAGUGGCUGCUAAGUUUUAUAAUGUUGGACCGAGACAUGUAUAAGACUUGAUGUUCAAUAUAUAGUACUGUUUAAGAGACAUGCUGAUCCUGUUUUCCAAUAAUGUUGGCUAGAGUGUACUACCGGAUAUAACAGCGUAAACCCACCGCACGGACUAGACGAAAAUAAAUCGCUUUGCGUAGUGCACAACAUAGACGAUAUAAAUGUAACACAUAACCAUGAAUUAGACCCAGCGAUAUAACUUAAAACCAGAUCCAGUUCCUUGCUUGUCUAAAAAAGGAUGUGAAGAGGACAUAUUUUAUUCGAAGUUGUACAAUAACCGUUUCAAUAUGUCAAAAGUUUUUAAUAUGUUUCUGGUACUGUGUUUCACUCAUUGGUUUACAAGAUUCAUUGGAUCAAUAACAAAACGCAGCUCCAACUCUAUCACGGGGGAUGAGUCUUAGUUCGGAUCCAUGCUUCAGGAACACGUUUCCUGACAUCAAACAAACAAACACACAUUAGCUUUCCACUUAAGAGAUUGACAAUAAGUGAGCUUAGAAUGAGCUAAACAAACAAAUAAAAGGCAAAAAAGAAAGAGCACGAGUAAAAGCCAAUUCAAGAACUCAAAAAUGUCACCUGCGCUGUGUUGGGGAUUGAUCCCGAUCCCAUCUGCAGACAUGAAUACAGAUACAACAGCAAUCUUGAGUAUUGUUGACAAGAAUAAAUCACUGUUAGAUCUUUAGGCAAUAGGAAGCUUCAGUUUUUAAACUUUAUAGACAGAGAAGUAGAGUUACAUGCAAUGAUAUAUAUAUAUAUAUGAUCCCAUAUCUAAGAGAAUUCUCCUGAUUACACAAAACAUAUGAACAUGAAACAGACAAAACUCGAAAAGGACACAAUCAUUGUUUGGUCUAAAGAAACAGUUUUAAAAUUCAAUUUCGCUAUUUAUCAAUUAAAUUUCGAACAAAAGCUACAAAUCAAAUGAAAAUCAUUGCGAGGUUUUAAAAGGUACCAUUGGUGAUGAUGGCGCUGGUUUGGGGAGGAACCUUGAACUCCUCUGCUGCGAAUCAGAACCGCCGUGAACGGAGCUCCCUCCGAAACAAACAAAAUGUUGGACCGAGACAUUUUA
rnacentral:lncRNA from 1 species